AUGAAAUCUAACCGUGCCCCUGGACCGGACGACAUCCCUGCUGAGUUUUAUCAACAUUGCUGGGAGAUAGUUUCCCGGGAUCUUAUGCGCUUGUUUGAGUGGUUUUAUGAGGGUAAACUUGAUGUAAAGAGAUUGAAUUAUGGCAUUAUAACUCUGUUACCCAAGUCAUCAAAGGCCAACAGAAUUCAGCAGUAUAGACCUAUAUGUCUGUUAAGAUGUCCCUACAAGCUUCUCACCAAAGUCAUGGAAAUUAGAGCCAGCAUAUAUGCGCAUAAGUUGUUCAGCCUGCAACAAAAUGCCUUCAUAAAAGGGAGACACAUAGUUGAUGGCAUAUUAUCUUUGCAUGAGAUCUUGCAUUAUACACAUGUCAAAAAACAAGUGGGGAUUGUCCUUAAGCUUGAUUUUGAGAAAGCUUAUGACAAAGUUAAUUGGGACUUUUUACUUGAUUGUCAUGUGAAGCGUGGGUUUAACUCCAAAUGGUGUGGGUGGGUUUCUCAAAUUUUGAGGAAUGGCACAGUAAGUGUCAAGAUUAAUGACGAGGUGGGGCCUUACAUCCAAAGUGCUAAGGGGGUGAGGCAGGGAGAUCCUCACUCCCCUUUUCUGUUUAAUAUGGCAGCUGAGUGUUUGACUAAGAUGGUAUUGGCAGCUCAAAAAAAUGGUCUGGUUAAAGGGUUAGCUGCUGAUCUUAUUGAGGAUGGGGUGGGUAUCCUGCAAUACGCUGAUGACACGGUGCUUUGCUUUGAGCAUGAUAUCGACAAAGCUGUCAAUGUCAAGCUUUUACUAUAUCUCUUUGAACUUAUGUCAGGUUUGAAGAUCAACUUCGAGAAAAGUGAGAUCUUUAGUAUCGGAGGAGACAAUGAUAUUGAUUUAGUAUACUCUGAUAUGUUUGGUUGUCAAGUGGGCAUCUUACCUAUGAAGUAUCUUGGGGUCCCAGUAACAUACUCUGCCCUUAAGAAUGCGGACCUGGACUUCCUUGAUGGUAAACUGAUUAAAAAGCUGGAUGCCUGGGUGGCAUAUGCGGCAUCUUCAGGGGCUAGACUUACUUUGCUAAGCUCCAGCCUUGAUGGGAUUCCAUCAUACCUCAUGUCAAUGUUUCUUUUCAAUAAAACCUUUAUUGAAAAGAUGGAUAAACACCGUAGACGAUUCUUCUGGAGGAGGAAGAACAAGAAACAUGGUUAUCAUAUGGUUAAAUGGGCGAGAGUUUGUCGAUCUAAGAAGAUUGGAGGGUUGGGUGUUAAAGAUCUUCAUAAGCAGAAUGUAGCUUUGCUUGUCAAGUGGUGGUGGAAACUUGAAACUAGCGAUGGCUUGUGGCAGCGUAUAGUCAAAGCUAGAUACUUUAAUAACAAAACAAUAGCAAAUGUGCGGAGUCGUGUAUCUGAUUCCCCUUGCUGGAAAGCUAUCAUGAAGGUCAAAGACUCAUAUAUGGCUGGUAGGAAAAUCAUCAUCAAUAGUGGUAACCUGGCUAGGGUCUGGCAUGAUCCAUGGACAGAAAAUACCGUUCUGAAAGAUCGAUUCCCUGAUCUGUUUAACAUCUGCCAUGAUCAGGAGAGUACCCUUGAGUCCUGGGUGAAGAAGGGCUAUACUCCAGAUUUUAGACGACGAGUGUCAGGUGUGUUGGGAGAGCAAUGGACUUGGAUGGUUGAUGAGGUGAAAAAACUCCCAUUGAAUAAUGACCCAGAUAAUGUUUCAUGGGCUUUAAACAGUAAAGGGAAAUUUACGACAAAGUCAAUGUAUGGUUGGUUGGAAAGAAACCUGGCUGGUCCUAAUUAUAAGUGGAUUUGGAAAGCCCCAGUUCCAUUGAAGAUCAAAAUCUUUCUAUGGCAGUUGUUCCAGAAUGCGGUGCUAACAAGAGACAAUAUGCGCACCCGAAAAUGGCCUGGGAAUCCAAUAUGUUCUUUUUGCACAGACAUAGAGACCGCAAACCACCUAUUUUUUACCUGCCCACUCGCCCGCACAGUUUGGGGCACGCUGGGGAUGACUGUAGGGGUUUCUUGUUGCCCCCGAUCUCUUUGGCAAAGCUUUGCAUGA
rnacentral:rRNA from 1 species